rnacentral:rRNA from 1 species
UACGUAGGGUGCGAGCGUUGUCCGGAAUUAUUGGGCGUAAAGAGCUUGUAGGCGGUUUGUCGCGUCUGCUGUGAAAAUCCGGGGCUCAACCCCGGACUUGCAGUGGGUACGGGCAGACUGGAGUGUGGUAGGGGAGGCUGGAAUUCCUGGUGUAGCGGUGGAAUGCGCAGAUAUCAGGAGGAACACCGAUGGCGAAGGCAGGUCUCUGGGCCACUACUGACGCUGAGAAGCGAAAGCAUGGGGAGCGAACAGG